CAAUCAAACCGGGAGAUAGCUGGUUCUCCCCGAAAGCUAUUUAGGUAGCGCCUCGUGAAUUCAUCUCCGGGGGUAGAGCACUGUUUCGGCUAGGGGGCCAUCCCGGCUUACCAACCCGAUGCAAACUGCGAAUACCGGAGAAUGUUAUCACGGGAGACACACGGCGGGUGCUAACGUCCGUCGUGAAGAGGGAAACAACCCAGACCGCCAGCUAAGGUCCCAAAGUCAUGGUUAAGUGGGAAACGAUGUGGGAAGGCCCAGACAGCCAGGAUGUUGGCUUAGAAGCAGCCAUCAUUUAAAGAAAGCGUAAUAGCUCACUGGUCGAGUCGGCCUGCGCGGAAGAUGUAACGGGGCUAAACCAUGCACCGAAGCUGCGGCAGCGAACGUAUCACCCAAGACAACUUUACGGAGUUGACGAUUGACGGAGCGAAGCGACGUCAAAGCGUUCAUUAAAGUCGAGUUGGCUUAGGGAUACGUUCGUUGGGUAGGGGAGCGUUCUGUAAGCCUGUGAAGGUGUGUCGUGAGGCAUGCUGGAGGUAUCAGAAGUGCGAAUGCUGACAUAAGUAACGAUAAAGCGGGUGAAAAGCCCGCUCGCCGGAAGACCAAGGGUUCCUGUCCAACGUUAAUCGGGGCAGGGUGAGUCGACCCCUAAGGCGAGGCCGAAAGGCGUAGUCGAUGGGAAACGGGUUAAUAUUCCCGUACUUGGUGUUACUGCGAAGGGGGGACGGAGAAGGCUAUGUUGGCCGGGCGACGGUUGUCCCGGUUUAAGCGUGUAGGUGUGUGUUCCAGGUAAAUCCGGUUCACUUUAACACUGAGGCGUGACGACGAGGCACUACGGUGCUGAAGCAACAAAUGCCCUGCUUCCAGGAAAAGCCUCUAAGCAUCAGGUAACAUCAAAUCGUACCCCAAACCGACACAGGUGGUCAGGUAGAGAAUACCAAGGCGCUUGAGAGAACUCGGGUGAAGGAACUAGGCAAAAUGGUGCCGUAACUUCGGGAGAAGGCACGCUGACACGUAGGUGAAGUGAUUUACUCA
rnacentral:rRNA from 3 species